AUCGAACGCUGGCGGCAGGCCUAACACAUGCAAGUCGAACGAGUGGCGGACGGGCGAGUAAUGUAUGGGAAACUGCCUGAUGGAGGGGGAUAACUACUGGAAACGGUAGCUAAUACUGCAUACCAUCAGAUGUGCUCAGAUGGGUGUAGCUUGUGGGUGGGGUAACGCCUCACCAAGGCGACGAGCCCUAGCUGGUCUGAGAGGCUGACCGGACACACUGGAACGUAGACACGGUCCAGACUCCUACGGGAGGCAGCGGUAGGGAAUAUUGCACAAUGGGCGCAAGCCUGAUGCAGCCAUGCCGCGUGUAUGAAGAAGGCUUUCGGGUUGUAAAGUGCUUUCGGCGGAGAAGCGUUACCCGCAGAGGAAGCACCGGCUAACUCCGUGCCAGCAGCCGCGGUAAUUC
rnacentral:rRNA from 1 species